ensembl:lncRNA MIR3147HG MIR3147 host gene
GGGCGGGGCGAGUACUGCUCCAAGAUAUGGCAACCGUGACAGCUUUGCGAGUAGCUCCAGGUCCCCUGCUGCUCCGUGAGAAAUCAAACUUCUGGCAAUGACGAAGCAUGAAGCCAGCAUCUCAGGGAGAGGUAGUGACAUAAUUACACGAUAAGACAAGCCGCCUGGUCUCGCUGUCACUUGGCAGGCAAGAGAGGUGAGAAAACUGACACUUGGAGAGGUAGAGUAGCUUUAUUUACUUCACACAAGCUUUUGAUGAAUUUCAAGUCUCAACCUAGAAGUCUUCCUCUAAGGUUCGUGCUUUCACGCACCUGUAAUUCAAAUACUGAUGAAAACAAAACUAUUGCCCUCCUACCAAAUGGGAAAUUAAUGUUAUGACUGGAUAAGACAAUUGUGAAGAAACUGCACUUCGAGGUUGUCUGUCUCCGUAUUCCGAUGGAAAAGGCUGGACUUUAGAAGCAUUGCUCGCUCCUUCAGUUUCUAACAAGCCAGUUCUUGGAGAUACUAGGAAGCCAAGAGUUUCCUCCAGGAAUGGAGAUUCCUUGGAAGUGAGGUUCACCUUGAGUCAAGAAAGACGAAUCACACACGGUCAAAGGCAAUUGCCCAGGGUCUCAAGAACAGAGCCAGAAAGAAGAGCUGGGGCCGGCGGGAUUGUGGGGGUCCUCUCUCCCACCUGAAAAGCUACAGCUGCCUGCCGAUCCUCUCAAGAGGAGACCUCUCUGGGCUCCAGCACCUAAAACAGACAAACCUGGGAGGAUGCUUCUCUCUUCUGUGUCACACGUGUCCUGGAGAAAACCCAUGUAUCUGAAUGACCAAAGAAAAGUAUGAGAAAAA